rnacentral:rRNA from 1 species
GUAGGUGGCAAGCGUUGUCCGGGAAUUAUUGGGGCGUAAAGCGCGCGCAGGUGGUUCUUUAAGUCUGAUGUGAAAGCCCCCCGGGCUCAACCGGGGGAGGGGUCAUUGGAAGCUGGGGAACUUGAGUGCAGGAGAGGAAAGUGGAAUUCCACGUGUAGCGGUGAAAUGCGUAGAUAUGUGGAGGAACACCAGUGGCGAAGGCGACUUUCUGGCCUGUAACUGACACUGAGGCGCGAAAGCGUGGGGAGCAAACAGGAUUAGAUACCCUGGUAGUCCACGCCGUAAACGAUGAGUGCUAAGUGUUGGGGGGUUUCCGCCCCUCAGUGCUGCAGCUAACGCAUUAAGCACUCCGCCUGGGGAGUACGGUCGCAAAGACUGA